rnacentral:rRNA from 1 species
AGUCGAACGGUGAAGCAGAGCUUGCUCUGUGGAUCAGUGGCGAACGGGUGAGUAACACGUGAGCAACCUGCCCCGGACUCUGGGAUAAGCGCUGGAAACGGCGUCUAAUACUGGAUAUGAGCUUCAGCCGCAUGGCUAGGAGUUGGAAAGAUUUUUUGGUCUGGGAUGGGCUCGCGGCCUAUCAGCUUGUUGGUGAGGUAAUGGCUCACCAAGGCGUCGACGGGUAGCCGGCCUGAGAGGGUGACCGGCCACACUGGGACUGAGACACGGCCCAGACUCCUACGGGAGGCAGCAGUGGGGAAUAUUGCACAAUGGGCGGAAGCCUGAUGCAGCAACGCCGCGUGAGGGAUGACGGCCUUCGGGUUGUAAACCUCUUUUAGCAAGGAAGAAGCGAAAGUGACGGUACUUGCAGAAAAAGCGCCGGCUAACUACGUGCCAGCAGCCGCGGUAAUACGUAGGGCGCAAGCGUUAUCCGGAAUUAUUGGGCGUAAAGAGCUCGUAGGCGGUUUGUCGCGUCUGCUGUGAAAUCCCGAGGCUCAACCUCGGGCCUGCAGUGGGUACGGGCAGACUAGAGUGCGGUAGGGGAGAUUGGAAUUCCUGGUGUAGCGGUGGAAUGCGCAGAUAUCAGGAGGAACACCGAUGGCGAAGGCAGAUCUCUGGGCCGUAACUGACGCUGAGGAGCGAAAGGGUGGGGAG